rnacentral:rRNA from 1 species
GGUGGUUUGUCGCGUUGUUCGUGAAAACUCACAACUCAAUUGUGGGCGUGCGGGCGAUACGGGCAGACUUGAGUACUGCAGGGGAGACUGGAAUUCCUGGUGUAGCGGUGGAAUGCGCAGAUAUCAGGAGGAACACCGGUGGCGAAGGCGGGUCUCUGGGCAGUAACUGACGCUGAGAAGCGAAAGCGUGGGGAGCGAACAGGAUUAGAUACCCUGGUAGUCCACGCCGUAAACGGUGGGUACUAGGUGUGGGUUUCCUUCCUUGGGAUCCGUGCCGUAGCUAACGCAUUAAGUACCCCGCCUGGGGAGUACGGCCGCAAGGCUAAAACUCAAAGGAAUUGACGGGGGCCCGCACAAGCGGCGGAGCAUGUGGAUUAAUUCGAUGCAACGCGAAGAACCUUACCUGGGUUUGACAUGCACAGGACGCCGGCAGAGAUGUCGGUUCCCUUGUGGCCUGUGUGCAGGUGGUGCAU